UACGGGGGGGGCAAGCGUUGUUCGGAAUUACUGGGCGUAAAGGGCGCGUAGGCGGCUCGCUAAGUCGGGUGUGAAAUCUCGGGGCUUAACUCCGAAACUGCAUUCGAUACUGCCGUGCUUGAGGACUGGAGAGGAGACUGAAAUUUACGGUGUAGCGGUGAAAUGCGUAGAUAUCGUAAGGAAGACCAGUGGCGAAGGCGGGUCUCUGGACAGUUCCUGACGCUGAGGCACGAAGGCCAGGGGAGCAAACGGG
rnacentral:rRNA from 1 species